CAGUAGCCGCGGUAAUCCGUAGGGUGCGAGCGUUAAUCGGAAUUACUGGGCGUAAAGCGUGCGCAGGCGGUUGUGUAAGACAGGUGUGAAAUCCCCGGGCUUAACCUGGGAACUGCGCUUGUGACUGCACAGCUAGAGUAUGGCAGAGGGGGGUGGAAUUCCACGUGUAGCAGUGAAAUGCGUAGAGAUGUGGAGGAACACCGAUGGCGAAGGCAGCCCCCUGGGCCAAUACUGACGCUCAUGCACGAAAGCGUGGGGAGCAAACAGGAUUAGAUACCCCGGUAGUCCCUGUCUCUUAUAC
rnacentral:rRNA from 1 species